rnacentral:ncRNA from 18 species
GCAUUGGAUAGAUGUUGUGCCGCUGUGGUCUAUUGCUACAUCCUGUAGGAGAGCGACGUCAAGGAUGUAGACAAUGC